rnacentral:rRNA from 1 species
GACGAACGCUGGCGGCGUGCUUAACACAUGCAAGUCGAACGAUGAAGCCGGAGCUUGCUCUGGUGAAUUAGUGGCGAACGGGUGAGUAACUCGUGAGUAACCUGCCCUUGACUCUGGGAUAACUGCGGGAAACUGUAGCUAAUACCGGAUACGACCUUCGGCGGCAUCUGCUGGGGGUGGAAAGAAUUUCGGUCAAGGAUGGACUCGCGGCCUAUCAGCUAGUUGGUGAGGUAAAGGCUCACGAAGGCGACGACGGGUAGCCGGCCUGAGAGGGUGACCGGCCACACUGGUACUGAGACACGGCCCAGACUCCUACGGGAGGCAGCAGUGGGGAAUAUUGCACAAUGGGCGCAGGCCUGAUGCAGCAACGCCGCGUGAGGGAUGACGGCCUUCGGGUUGUAAACCUCUUUUCUUUGGGAAGAAGCGGAAGUGACGGUACCUGCAGAAAAAGCACCGGCUAACUACGUGCCAGCAGCCGCAGUAA